GGGGCGUGGCCAAGCUGCCGAGCUCUACUGGGCGGAACUGGGAGCAACUGGGAGCUGCGAGACGGCGGGGGCGGAAACCAAAAGCGCUGCUCCCACCCGGCCCCUUUUCCCCCGCCGCGCUUCCGGUUCGCCACUUCCGCCUUCCGCUGUGGCGCCGCGGCCGGCCGUGAGGGGAGCGCGCGCCCCGCGGCCCCCAAAACCCCCAAAAAAACCCCAAAAAACCCCCAAAAUUCCUCUUUAAACUCCGCUCUCCACCGCUGCAGGGGCACCGCGGAGGCGCUGAGGCGCGGCCAUGACGCGGCACGGCAAGAACUGCACGGCGGGGGCCGUGUACAGCUACCACGAGAGGAAGAAGGACACAGCCGCCUCGGGCUACGGCACGCAGCGGGUGCGCGUGGGGGCGCGACGUCCAUCAAGGAUUUCGAUUGCUGCUGCCUGUCCCUGCAGCCCUGCCGCGACCCCCGUGGUGACGUGAGUGAGGCCGGAAAUGGGCGCAGGAGUGAGCCCGAAAGAGCCCGGAAACAGCCCCCAAAUACCCGCGGAAAUAAUCCCGAAAUAGGCCCAAAACAGCCCCGAAAUAGCCCCAGAAAUAAUCCCGAAAUAGCCCCAAGAAAUAAUCCCCAAACAGCCCCGAAAUACGCCGCGAAAAUAAUCCCCAAACAGCCCUGAAAUACCCGCAGAAAUAAUCCCCAAACAGCCCCGAAAUAGCCCCCAGAAAUAAUCCCCAAACAGCCCCGAAAUACCCGCAGAAAAUAAUCCCGAAAUAGCCCCAAAAUACCCGCAGAAAUAAUCCUGAAAUAGCCACGAAACAGCCCCGAAAUACCCGCAAAAAUAAUCCCGAAAUAGGGCCCAAAAUAUCCUCAAAAAUAAUCCCAAAAUAGCCCCCGAAAUACCCGCAGAAAUAAUCCCCAAAUAGGCCCAAAAUAGCCCCAAAAUACCCGCAAAAUACCCGCAAAAAUAAUCCUGAAAUAGCCACGAAACAGCCCCGAAAUACCCGCGAAAAUAAUCCCCAAACAGCCCCGAAAUACCCGCAGAAAUAAUCCUGAAAUAGGCCCAAAAUAGUCCCGAAAUAAGCCCCAGAAAUAAUCCCCAAAUAGCCCCAAAAUACCCCGCAGAAAUAAUCCCCAAACAGCCCCGAAAUACCCGCAGAAAUAAUCCUGAAAUAGCCACGAAACAGCCCCGAAAUACCCGCAGAAAUAAUCCCAAAAUAGCCCCAAAACAGCCCCGAAAUAGCCCCAGAAAUAAUCCCCAAACAGCCCCGAAAUACCCGCAGAAAUAAUCCCGAAAUAGGCCCAAAAUAGCCCCAAAAUAUCCGCAAAAAUAAUCCCCAAAUAGCCACGAAAAAGCCCCGAAAUACUGGCAAAAAUACCCCAAAAUAUCCCCAAAAUACCCAAAAAUAAUCCCAAAAUAGCCACAAAAUACCCACAGAAAUAAUCCUGAAAUAGCCCCAGAAAUAGCCCAAAAUACCCGCAAAAAUAAUCCCCAAAUAGCCAAGAAACAGCCCCGAAAUACCCGCAGAAAUAAUCCCAAAAUAGCCCCAAAAUACCCGCAAAAUACCCGAAAAAUAAUCCUGAAAUAGCCACGAAACAGCCCCGAAAUACUGGCAAAAAUAGCCCAAAAUAUCCCCAAAAUACCCCAAAAAUAAUCCCAAAAUAGCCCCAAAAUACCCCAAAAAUAAUCCCAAAAUAGCCACAAAAUACCGGCAAAAAUAAUCCCGAAAUAGGCCCAAAAUAUCCUCAAAAAUAAUCCCCAAACAGCCCCGAAAUACCCGCAGAAAUAAUCCUGAAUUAGCCCAGAAACAGCCCCGAAAUAGCCGCGAAAAUAAUCCCCAAAUAGGCCCAAAAUAGCCCCGAAAUAGCCCCAGAAAUAAUCCGGAAAUACCCGCAGAAAUAAUCCCGAAAUAGCCACAAACCAACCCCAAAAUACCCGCGAAAAUAAUCCAAAAAUAGCCCCGAAAUAGCCCCAGAAAUAAUCUCGAAGAUAGCCAAGAAACGGCCCCGAGAUACCCACGAAAAUAAUUCCAAAAUAUCCCCAAAAUACCGGUAAAAAUAAUCCUGAAAUAGACCCAAAACAGCCCCGGAAUACCCGCAGAAAUCAUACUGAAAUAAUUCCAAAAUAGCCCCAAAAUUCCCCACAAAAAUACCCCCAAAACGGCCCAGAAAUACCCACAAAACAGCCACAAAAUACGCGCAAAAAUAAUCCCGAAAUAGCCCCAAAUUAGCCACAAAAAAUAAUCCUGAAAUAGUCACAAAAAUAAUCCCAAAAUAGCCCCAAAUUAUCCCAGAGCAGCCCACCACCCCAAAAAACCCAAAACCAUUCCAAAAACAGGCCCCAAACCACCCCAGAAAAACCCAAA